UACGGGGGGGGCAAGCGUUGUUCGGAAUUACUGGGCGUAAAGGGCUCGUAGGCGGCCAACUAAGUCAGACGUGAAAUCCCUCGGCUUAACCGGGGAACUGCGUCUGAUACUGGAUGGCUUGAGUUUGGGAGAGGGAUGCGGAAUUCCCGGUGUAGUGGUGAAAUGCGUAGAUAUCGGGAGGAACACCAGUGGCGAAAGCGGCUACCUGGCCCAUUCUUGACGCUGAGGCGCGAAAGCUAGGGGAGCAAACGGG
rnacentral:rRNA from 1 species